UGUUCUGCUGCAGUAGUGGACCCUUCAUCCUACAUGACUGGUGUCCUUCCAAGAAGGGGAGAGAGAUCCAUGGGAGAAGGCAGCUCCGUGAAGACAGAGGCAGAGAUUGAAGCAGCUGUAAGCCAAAAGACCCCAAGAGUGAAUCUCUAAGAGUUUCAGAAGGAGCACGGCUCUGCCGACACCUUGAUUUUGCACUUCCAAACUUCUGAACUGUGAGACAAUCCGUUUUUGUUGUGUUAGGCCACCCAAGUUGUGGUACCACGCUACCCUAGAAAACUAACACAUCGAUUAGUCUAAUUUCAUCCUAUUCAGCAAAAACUAAGACCAAAAGGGUUAGACAACAUUCUGAAGACUGAAAGUACUAGAAAGGUUAAGAAUCAACUGUCUAUCUGUUCAAAGAAUAUUUAAUAAUUCCAUGUGUAAUGGAUUGCAUUACUCAGUUAACAAUAACAAAAUACCUCUUUAUAGACACAUUUCUUAAACAGCCCUUAUCAAAAUCAGCAUGCUGUACCCCUUAACUGUAUACAAUUUUUAUUUUUCAAUUAUAUAUCCAUAAAGCUGGCGAAAAAAAGAAAAAGAAACAACCUGGUUGAUAAAGUGAGAUUGGUGAAGAAGUGUAAACUGAAAAGCAAAAAAAUUUUAAUAUAUAUUUUUUAAGAGAGACAGAGACAGAGCAUGAGCACGGGAGGGGCAGAGAGAGAAGUUAGACACAGAAUCCAAACCAGGCUCUAGGCUCUAAGCUGUCAGCACAGAGCCCAAUGUGGGGCUCAAACUCAAGGACCAAGAGAUCAUGACCGGAGCCAAAGUCAGAUGCUUAAUCAACUGAGCCACCCAGGCGCCCCAGGAGGUGUAAACUUUGUAGCUGCCAAUAUUAAGACUGGGUCUACAGGGCAAUUUUGCUCCCUUGAGUUCAAAGAAAUCAGGCAAGUAGAUUCUUAACCCAUUCAAGUGCUCUUUCAUUGCUAUUUUCCCUGGAGGAGAAAAGGAAUGGGUGUGGGGGUGAAGGGGGUGAGCAAUGUUUUGAGUUGUUGACUUAAAUUUUCCAUGGAAUCAGCAAAACACAGGUAGGAAAGAAAAGUCAUAGUCUUGUAUUGGAUAUUAACAGUCUUAUUUGGGAGAAUUUAUCUAAUGUUUAAUUUAAACUUUGAAUCAAUUAACUAUGACUCAGUGGCUUAACAAAGAUAACUUAUCGUUGCCUGUAUCUGCAGGUCAGCUGGAGGUUGGGCUUGGCUGGAGUGGCUCUGCUUCAAGUGUCUUUCAUGCUCCUUAUACCAGCAGGACAGCUUCGGAGCAUAUUUUUCACGUAUCAGUGGAAGAGCCAUGAGAAGGCAAGUGGAAAGGUGUGAAGUUUUUUAAAGUCUAAACUGGGGACUGGCUCACACCUACUUGCAGCCAUGCGUCACUGGUCAGAGCAAGUAACAUGGCAUAUUAGUUUGCUAGGGCUUCUGUAACAAAGUAUCAGAGACUAGGCAUCUUAAAACAAUGGCAAUUUAUUUUCUCGCAGUUCUGGAAGCCAAAAGUGCCAAAUCAAGGUGUUGGCUUGGGCUGAUUCCUUCUGAAGGCCGUGAGGGAAAAGUUUGUUCCAGGCCUCUGUCCUUGGCUUGCAGAAAACCAUCUUUAUACUCACAAAGUGUUCUCCUUGUUCACAUGUCUGUCUUCAAAUUUCCCCUUUUUAUAAGGAUACUAAUCAUAUUAGAUUAGGGCUCACCCAAUCAUUUUAACUUGAUUACCUCUUUAAAGACCCUAUCUCCAAAUAAAGUCACAUUCUGAUAUAUUGGGAGUUAGAACUUCAACACAUGAAUUUUUUUGUUGGGGCAGGAGAGAGGCCACAGUUUAACCCACAAUAUACAUUCAAGCUCAAAGUACAGGGCUUAUAAACCCUCCUACAAUGAAGACAUGGCAAGAGUAUGAAUGUAGGAAGGGGUGAAGAAUGGGAGUGAGUCUUAAUAGUCUAAACUUCAUUUUUUUAAGUUUAUUUAUUUAUUUUGGAGAGAGAGAGAGAGAACAUAAGCAGGGAAGGGGCAGAGAGAGAGAGAAAGAGAGGGAGAGAGAGAGAGAGAGAGAGAGAGAGAGAGAUUUCCAAGCAGGCUGUGUGCUGUUGGUGCAGAGCAAGACGUGGGGCUUGGACUCACAAACUGUGAGAACAUGACCUGAGCUGAAAUCAAGAGUGGAAUGCUUAACUGACUUAGCUACCCAGGCAUGCCAGUAGUUUAAACUUUAAAUCAGGCACAGGGGUUGACAAACUAUGGCCCAUGGGCCAAACCUGGCCUGCUGCCUGUUUUGUUGUUUGUUUGUUUUUUAUAAAGUUUUAUUAGGUAACAGGAAUGUUCAUCUUUUAAUGUAUUAAUUGCACCUACUUUUGUGUCAUAACAACAGAAUUGGCUAGUUGUGACAAAAGGCUUUAUGGCCUGAAAAGCCUAAAAUAAUUAUUACCUGGCCUUUACAGGAAAAAAAAAAAGUGUUGAUCCCUGAUCUUGCCAGGGCAGCAAGGCUUAAAGAUUAACACUAGUAUACUUUUCCUGAAUCCAAGUAACUGGGAAAAUGUUUUGAAAGUGGCAAGCUUUGUGUUCUGGCGUCAGUUCAGCCAUUAGCUGACUCUGUGACCUUGUGUGAAACCCUUAGCGUCCCUGUUUCUAUUUUCUCAUAUAGAAAAUCAGGGAAUUGGUCAUGUGGCCUGCCUCACUUUGCUUCUUCUUAAUUAUAACCAAAUAGUAAACCUUCAGUGAGCAAAAAAUACUGCAGUGUAUUGUUCCCCCCAAAAGCCCCAGAAAACAAAUAGCAUAGUUGUAGAAAAAUAUAAUUUUCCCCCAUGGGCCUAUCUCUUAUUUAUUUAUUUAUUUAUUUUUAACGUUUAUUUAUUUUUGAGACAGAGAGAGACAGAGCAUGAACGGGGGAGGGUCAGAGAGAGGGAGACACGGAAUCUGAAACAGGCUCCAGGCUCUGAGCUGUCAACACAGAGCCUGACGCAGGGCUCCAACUCACGGAACGCGAGAUCAUGACCUGGGCCGAAGUCGGCCGCUUAACCUACUGAGCCACCCAGGCGCCCCUCUAUCUCUUACUUAUUUAUUUAUUUAUUUAUUUAUUUAUUUAUUUAUUUAUUUAUUUUUAAUUUUUUUUUUCAACGUUUUUUAUUUAUUUUUUUUUGGGACAGAGAGAAACAGAGCAUGAACGGGGGAGGGGCAGAGAGAGAGGGAGAUACAGCAUCGGAAACAGGCUCCAGGCUCCGAGCCAUCAGCCCAGAGCCUGACACGGGGCUCGAACUCACAGACCGCGAGAUCGUGACCUGGCUGAAGUCGGACACUUAACCGACUGCGCCACCCAUGCACCCCUCUAUCUCUUAUUUUAAUAGAAUAAAAGUUACAUUUUUUUUUUCUGAAUUGAAAUCUUGCUUACUCUGGAAUUAAAUGAGAUCUAAAAUCCUUUCUUUUAAUAUUAGGGUUCUACAAAAUCAAGUAUGAAGUGGGGAUAAUUAUAUGAGAUGCACUCUUAGACAGAAGUCAGCUUCUGUGACAGAAUUUUAGUAAAUCAACUUCUUAUCCCUUUUGGCCACUGUGGGAGUCAGAAUCUUUAGAUGGUGUCAGAGAGGCCAUCUGGGUCUGCUAUCCAUAAUAAUUCGAAGAGCUUAACUCAGGGUUUGAUGAAGGAACAGACGAAUGUAUUAAAUAAAGCUACAACUCCACCGGGAGUGGCAGAUGGAAAAGAUGUCCUCAAUGUUUUGUAGAGCUGCUGCUCAAGAAGUAGAGUCUCUUUUCCUAAUCCUUGAAUCUUGCUUUGAUCAGUAGAAUGUGGGUAAAGUGGUUUGCAAAGUGUGGAUCUUAGGCCUCAAAAGCCUUGCAGCUUGGGUUUUGCUGUCUUAGAAUAUUUCCAAAGACCACCGUGCAAGGAAACUGGUCCAGUAUACUGGAGGAUGAGAGGCCACAUGGAGGAGAACCAAGGUUGCCCAGGGUCCUAGCGCCAUGAGAGUGUGGCUGAGGAAAAAGUUGUGGUCCAAUGUGGAUCACUUUUUGUGUGCUCCACAUUUCUCUAGUCCCGUACCAGUUGCCCAAAAAUCUCUGCUUCAGGCUUUAUUUUAUAUAAAUGAUAGAAAGGUUUUUACUAUUUCCUUUUGCAUGAGCCCAAAUUAUAGUCUUUAAUUACAGAAUGUUUAUCAAUUGAUUUCUAUGGGAAUCUUUGCUCUCCUCCCAUGGCUGUGUGAAAUGCCAGCUAUAUGCUUUGGUUCAGAUGUGGCUUGCUGCAGUUCUCUGCAUCUCUAACAUGACCACGUGGUCCUCUGUCCCCUUUGCAAGAUCAGCACACCCUUCACUGUUGUGAUGGGAAGGAUGUUCAUACCCUUGGAGGGGAGAAUAAUUUCCUGCUUAUUGUCUACGCUGGAAAAAACAUCUCCUAUUGGGCUAAGAAUGUCACAUAGAUUUCAUUUUGUCUACUAACAGUAUCAGGAAACAUUGCCAGCCCACAUCUAGGCUUACCUGUAACUGAUAGGCAAUGUCCUUCCUGGAAAGGAAAAGGACCCUGUAUGUACCAAGUAUUUACUACCAUUAACCAUGAUGCUACUUUCUGUAGAAACAAUUACACAGUUCUUUUCUUCUAGUAGUAGCACUAGGGAAUUCCUAUUUAAUCACUUUGUACCUAGUAGGCAUCAUUUACAAAGUUAUAUUAGCCAGCCUAGAUAGAAUGUAAUGAAAUUCACUAAUAACUGACAUCAUAGAGAUGGUAAUCUGAUAAAAAGUGCAGAGGUUAUUAUUUUGGUCAUUCUUAUGUAUGCAAUUUCUUUAGUAAUCCUGUAUAAUAGUUGCUUAGUUAUCUAGUCCAUGGCAAUAUUUUUAUAAUCACAAAUAAUUUAAAUCUAUAAAAUAAAGCUACAACAGUAAAAUUGCAAAAGGCUGCAAGAGUUGAAUCGUGAAGUGAUAUACUGCAGGGUUUGGCAAACUAUGGCCAGUAGCCAGCGAGCCAAAUCCAUCCUGCCACGUGUUUCUGUAAAUAAAGUUUUACUGGGAUGCAGCCAGGUCCAUAUGUCUCCUCUGGUCUAUGGCUGGUUAUGCACUAGAGUGCCAGGAUCCAGUCGUGGAGGUGGAGACCAGCAGAGUUAAGUAGUCGUGGUAGAGACCUUACAGCCUGCAAAACCUGAGACAUUUACUAUCUGACCUAUUACAUAAAAAGUUUUCCAACCCCUGGUGAGUUGAAACAGUUGAGAAUCUAACAGUUAUUGACCACUUUCAUAUGCAGGGAACAGUGGUGGACAAAGCGCUUUGAAGGGCUCUUUUCUAUCCUAAAAAAAAAAAAAAAAAGACUGUAGCAGAAGCAGUGUUUUUUAAUUCUGUCUGAACAUUAAACUCAGCUGGGUAGAGUUGUUAAAAUUACUAAUACCAGGACAUAACCUGUGUGGGACAUGGGUAUUGUAUGUUUUUGAAAGCUGCUUAGCUGAAUCUAUUGUGCAGCAAUGUUACAAAGCAUUGAUCAAGGUUCUUAUUUUACACUUCAGCUCCUGUUCUUCUAGGGGUUAGAUAGUGUAGCUAUCCAGUUUGGUUUUUAGUGACUCAAACGUGGUAGAAAGUAAAUCUGAAAUAGCUUAACAAAAUAAAAAAUAAAAAUUUCAAGGAAUGUUGGGUGUUAAUUCAGACUGGGUGAACCUCUAAAAGUUCUAAGCCAAAAGAACUUUUACUGGCCUAAGAUCCUGGUUUGUAAGGUAUCAUCCUGCCACAAAUAUCCAGAUUUAAAAUAUAUUGGCAGGCUUACAAAAAAGUCACUGAAGUCUUUUUUUUUUUUUUUUGUGCCUUACUUUCUUACCACUCUCGAACCAUCUACUUCAGAAAAUAGAACUUCAGAUAGCUAUAUUCUGUUCUGCUGUAAGAAUUUUUUAAUAAAGAUUUUAGUUAAGUUGAUUUAUUUAUUUUGAGAGAGAGAGAGUGGGGGAGGGUCAGAGGGAGAGGGAGACAGAGAAUCCCAAGCAGGUUUCUCACUGUCAGCACAGAGCUUGACUUUACAAAUCGUGAGAUCAUGACCUGAGCCAAAAUCAAGAGUCAGAUGCUUAAUCGACUGAGCCACCCAGGUGCCCUUUGUUCUAAGAAUGUUUUUUUUAACAUUGGAAUACUUAGAAAGUUUGAGAGAAAUUGGGUAAAAUACAAGAAGAGUAAUUCUGGCUAGCUAAGACGACUUUUGCUAGUUCAAGUCGUGGCACAUUAUAGUGGAUAUUCCAGAAAUAGUGACUCAGGAAGCUCUGUCACAGCUCUGGUUUUAAGUAUGAUGAGGGUGUAUAGUCUUAUUGUCCCGUCUAGUGCAUCACUGAUUUUUUAUGGGUUUAAAUAAUAAUGUGAGUAAGUCACAUACCAAGAGUUUCCACAGAUAUCUGAAAGUAAGACUUGUGUGAAUAUUUGGAAUAUAUAGGCAGUAGCUAUUUAUAGAUGAAGAAACUCACACGUUAGGAUGUUUAUCCAAAAUAUAUAUCUCGAGAACUUCCUAGACAGGUUAGUGCACCAGUAGUAAAAAUUAUACAUUUAUAAUUUAGUAUCUUACCAACCCAACAGCUCGUUUGAGCAUAUGCAAAGAUGACAAUUUCCAUCCAUUUUGCCAAAAAUCACACUUUCAUCAGUCUGCAAAAUAUGUCUUGGCCCCACCCACCCUUUUUGGUGCCAAUUCUUCUUUGUUACUAUCUUCUCAAAGCCUGAAAUUUCCUCUCCCAGAAAACUAGGACAAACAUGGAAAUCUCUCCAGGAGAGAUACUCUUACAGAUCCUUAAAAAACUGCAAUUCAGAGAGAAUGUAAGGAUGAGAAGACUCCACUAUAUUUUUUAAAAAUUAUUCUUUUAUUCUCUUUAUACUCUUCUGCUCUCCUUUCCUAUAGAAUUGGCAUUGCCACCACCAUAAAAGCCAUUCUGACCCUCACGGCCCACGAAUUUCUGUUUUUACUGAGACUAGGUUUUCUUUAAAUGACACAUAAUACUUUUUCCCUUUGCUGAAUACUUCAAAGCCCUGGGUCUGCUUCCCUGAAUUGUCCCUAUCUUGGAGCAGGACCCCAGACUACCAGAAGCAAUAUUCCCCACAGUGAGAUAGAUAUGUAUUUUCUGACACACUCUAAUUCCCACUUUUAAAGAGAAAGUACUAAGAAGCACAAUGCAAAUAAGUAUGGUAUUAUACACAGGAAAGAAACGAAUAUUUAUUUAGUAUCUAAUCUACACAAGGCACUGGUAAGCACUUCACAUGGGUUAUUUCAUAAGAAACCGUCAUGUAGGUAUUAUUCGCAUUUUUACUGAUGAGUAGAUGAAUUUCUAAAGGUUACGCAGCUAGCAAACAAUCUGCUUUUUAUAGUCGUAUAUGGCUAACAAGUGAUCAAUUAACAUGAAGUAUAAAUCAGUGGAUUCUUAAUUAAUGAGCUUUUGCUCAUUAAAUUUGGAAGUCACUUUUUGUUUUCACAUAUGUGCCUCAGAACGUAUCAUUGGCUUUUACGGAUGGGCAAUUUCCACCUCAAUAUGAGGAAUAUAGGUGACUUUCCAAAAAUACCUAUGCACACCGAGCAGCUUCCGACUACUUCCGAAGAGUAAGUUAGGUCUCUUUAUGCCGUCAAUCCUCUGAACCUCAGCCCUUUUUCUUUAGUUGAAGGGUGCAACUUUGAAAAUUACUGCAGUUUGAUGUCUUACAACUUAUUGCAGUUCUCUGCAAGUUCAGACAUUUUCUGAGGUGAACCGAGAGUACAAAUGUAGCUAAGUGUUAAUUAAAAAGAACAUCUUGAGUGUAAACAUUAAAAAUUGAUCACCUUCUGUGAGCAAUUUAAUUUAUGAGCAUUAACAUAUUCUAAGCUGAUGUCUUGAAUUUUACUAGAACGUCUCUUGCCGCAUAAUGAAGGGGAAGAAGGAAGAACCCUUAACAUGAAUACAUUGAAGUGUCUCUUUUCUCAGUCACCAGGGGUGUGCCAAUUCUAAGGCCAGAGAGGCAGCUCCUCCAGCAUGACUCCAACAGCAGCAGCUGCCAACAGCAGCCACAGCCCCGGGAGCCCUGGCCCCCCACAGGCGGGUUCAUGCUGUCAGUCCUGCACCACAGUAAUCAUUUCUGGCAAAGCGGGAGAUCUGCGGAGUGACUCUGGCAGCUUUCCUCUCCUUUUGGGUUAUACUAAAUCAUUAAUGAAUGUAUUUAUUUCUUGAAUUUUUAGCUUGUUCAGUAAGGUGCAGCAGAGUGUGCAUAUGAGAGAAUGGAGAAAAGAAUAAAUUACAUUGCAUUGCCGUAGUCAGCCAGCUAUCUCCAUGAGCCUAAUUAAGGGAAUAAUCUCACCCCCCACCCCCCUUAGUUCCAGGGUCUGUUUUCAAUGUCUUCUUGAGCCUGAUAUACAUUUUGAAAAUGCCACUAAAUAGAAUUAUAUGGUCUAAAAUGUGACGCUGGUGAAAUUUCUUGUGGGUUUCUCUUUAGGUCCUUCUAAUACUCACUCCUUGGAGCCCAUUCCUCCUCACAGAGGUCUAGUGUCACAGAACUUUCCUGAGGCUCCCUGGCUGCCCCAAAGCUCCUGAACUUUCUUCCUGUCUCUUCUACUUUUCUAUCGAAACUCAUUGAUUCUCUGUUCCAUUCCUUUAGUGUUCCAUGCUAAUAGGAUAUCUGAUUUGUUAAUCCGUGACCAGAUUAGCAGUUGUUAUCAGUUGACAGUGAUAACGCAAGGAGGUACAAAAGUGCCUGCUCUCAGCAAGAUUAAGUGAUUUCAAUUUUGAGAGAUGGGGAAUCUUCAAUAUCAUAUUGCAUAGACAGUUACUUUGCACACAGAAUUGAGUCUACUGUCUCGGUAUAUUAUUUCACGCUUAAUCUUUGUGUGAGAUAGAAGUUCAGAAAAAUCCUUAAAUAGAUUUAUCUUAUAAGAACCAAAAAAAUAGGGUUUCUGAAUGGCCUUGGAAAAAAAAUUCUAGAAUUGUUUCUUUCGCUUCCUAUACUAAUAUUUUAAUGAAGAAAUUCUGGUUCAUGAACACAAAUGUUAAGACUUCAUAAAUGAUACCAGUCCACCUUCCAGGCAACAAAUAGUAAUACUUAUACUUUAAUUUUUUUUAAUGUUUAUUUAUUUUUGAGAGAGACAGAGACAGAACGUGAGUGGGUUGUGGCAGAGAGAGAGGAAGGCACAGAAUCCGAAGCAGGCUCCAGGCUCCGAGCUGUCAGCACAGAGCCUGACAUGGGGGUCGAACUCAUGAGCUGUGAGAUCAUGACCUGAGCCAAAGUCGGACGUUCAACCGACUGAGCCACCCAGGCGCCCUGGCAAUACUUCUACUUUAAAAUAAAGCUUUAGUUAAUAGCUCAUUGAAGUAAAAAUGUAUUGAGUGGUGAUGGCCUCUGGCUUAUUUUAGCAGGUGACUUAGUGGAGGGCUGGCAGGUACAACACUGUUGGUAUCAUUCCUCAAAGAUGGACACAAAAGAACAAGACUGUAUCCCAAAUGGAAUUCUCAGUGACCAAAAAUAUAAUGGAGUUUAAAAGAGGUAGGUUAGUUUUAUUAGAUUGUCAAGAAAAUAAAGAAAAUAAAGUGUGGUGAAUGUUAACAUAAAUUUAAUCAUCAGUGAAAUAUUAAAAUAAAUAGUAUUUUAAAUGUUCCAAUCCAAAUUUAUUAUUUCUUUGGUGUAUUUUAGGGUAUGGAGCACAAAAUUAUUUCUGUCCCCUGUAUCCUAUAGCUUUCAGGACCAAUCUCAUAGAAGUACAGGAUAUUUUUAAUUUAAAAAGUACAUAGCUGCAGUUUUCUGUGUUUUAUUUUUUGCUGAGGACUCUGGUAUAUUUAAGAGAAGAAAGAAUCUGGAUAGAAAUGGUAUUUCUAUCAUUUGACGGAUACCUAUGUGUGUUGUUGCUGUAACUAUUUCCAGAUAUUUUUGCCAAAUUUCAAAAAAUAUGCAUUUAUCCACUGCAUCAAAAAAAAAAAAAAGAAAAAUUUGGCAUGAUUUAAGGGUCUUGAAAAAUCUGAUUAUGGUAUUAACUUAUCAAAAAUUUGCAUGUUAAAAUUAAACUCUAGCUGAGCAAUAAAAUUUAUGCUGUGAUUCUGAUUCUUCAAGAAAGAUAAUUAAAUUCUUAAUUUUCCUGCGAGCAUUUUCCAUUUGGUAACUCGAGGGACUGGGGCUGGAGCUGGAGGCCGAUGACGGUGGCACUGGCAUGGGGGACAGGAUUCAGAGGGAGCAGGAAUCAGAGUAGAGGAAUGUGGAGUGGUGCCAGAAUGACAUUCCAGAUACCAAACCAGUCACUUUGUAGCUAAUCAGCCUUGGAACACCACUACAAAAUGGGGAUAAUAAUACCCGCUUCACAGAAAUAGCAGGAGGGCCAGAGGAAACCAUGUGAGGAACUGUCACAUAAAGUAUUAUACAAAUGAGUUAUUACAACUUGGGGAACAGCAGGGGAAGAUAGGACAAGGACAAGUCAAUUUUGUCCUCCCCAUCCCCAAACCCACUAAACUAUCUUGGUCACGGAUGGUGUGUGCAUGGAACAGAAAUUUAUUCAGAAUAUCUGUAUUAAUGAGGAUGCUUUUAGUUAUGAUGGAAAGCAACUCAUUUAAUUUUAGAAACAAACGAAUUUAUUGGCCCAUGUAACUAGAAAGACUUAGAGACUGUUAAAAAGAUGUCAUCAGGAAUCUUUGUCUCUUUCAGAGCCUCUUGGCUCUGCUAUCCUCUGUGGUGUCUUCAUGCUCAGGCAAGCCCUUUCCAAGUGUGGCAAGAAUGGUCCCAGCAGCUCCCACCUUAUCAGGAUUUUUGUGCCUGAGAUCCCAAGACAGAGACCCUCUCAAUUCUAUCAGUCCCCACAAAAUGAUUCUGUAUCACCUGGAGAAGAAAGGACAGUUCCUAAAAUGACAGCAUUUGAAAGAUUAUGGGGGGAACAAAAUGUAUCAGAUAUUUAGUAUGCUGGUUCAAAUGAAAAUAGAUCUUAUUCUUGAAGAGAUAAAGAGGAAUCUCACAGAUAUCAAAAGGCACGAAAUAAGAUACAACUGGGCCACAAAAGGACUGGAUCUGGAAAGUCUGACCUAGGGCUAGAUCAGGUUGGGUUCCCCAGUUUUAUGUUCCCAUAGCAUCCUGAACUUUGCCUAUCAUAACAUUUGUGAAACUUCAUCAUAAUCACUUUCUAUCAGUCCUUUCUGUAGGACUUCAAGCCCCAUGAAAGCAUAGACUUUUAUUGUCUCAUUUGCUGUUGAAUCCUCCACGUCUAUGGUAGCAGAGAUCCUAGUAGGUUCAGCAAAUAUUUGAAUGGAUAGAUAGAUAAAUGAGGCUGCUCUCUCCAUCUCUAUGGUACUAAAUAAUCUGUCAUCCCUGCACGUUUGCUCCAUUUAUCUGCUUCUUUGUGUUAUGCAUGGGCACUUCUGUUCUCUCAAGGUAUGUUUGUCAUUGGCUUCGUCCUGCUAUAGCAAUGGCUUGGCCAUGAGUUUGUAUGUUCUUUGGCCCCACAGUCUCUCAGAUUCCCAAGUUCAAAUUUAAGAAAGAGAAUAAAAUUAGACAGAUUUGGGUCCAUUGUCCAUGACUUCUCUAAGCAACUUCAGAUGGUGGUGGAGAUGGGUUGUCACAGGCUAUAUAGGGUUGUGUAAACCUGUGUCUUCAGUAAUAGCUCUAGUUCUAAGUAUAUUCAUCCCUCAACACUCAAGUGAUUUACAGAGGAAAAAUGAUAUAAUAAAUUUGUCUCAAGUCAGACUUAAGUAAGUAUGAUGCAUCCCAGUCCUUACAAGUCCUCCUAUUGUCUUAUACACCAUAAGUGCCUACAACUUGAAUAUUGUCUAAGUCUACUGUAGGUAGUAUCUAGAUCUUUCUUGUAUCAUAACUAUGAUACCUCCUGUCAUCUAUUCAUAUACUCAUUCAAUAAAUAGUCCCUGCAAUAGACUCUAGACUCCAAUCUCGAGAAGUAGAGGAAGAUACAUAUGAAGUAAAUGAUGUUGACUAUAUCCUUGAGAUCAUUCAGUCAGUAUUGGUUGAGCUUCGAGCCCCUAGUACAUGUUAGAAGCUAUGCCAGAAGCUGGGAGUGAAGAAGGUAGACAGUCCCUGUUUGUACAAGCAUACAUUAGUGGGAAAGAUAAAUAAUUUAAAUAAUUAUUAUAACAUGUCAGGAGAUCUGUGAUUUAGGGAGAAGACGUAAGGAGGCAAAAAAGAGGGGGAUAUAACCUCAACUUGGGGACUAGGGAAGCCUUCCUGAGAAAGUAGCCUGACUGUGGGCAUGGAAACGAGAGAAUUGGAGGGAAGUGUAUUCCAAGCAGGGAAUAUCAUGUGCAGAGGCUAGAGGAACUGUAAGAAAUACAUAAAUGUUCUCUCUCUCUCUCUCUCUCUCUCUCUCUCUCUCUCUCUCUCUCUCUCAUACACCAGGGUUUUCGGAGAGUCAUUUUCAUUUUAAGAUAUGAUAUCAUUUCUUAAUGAUACAUUUCUAUUAUAUGUAGUUUCACCAUGCUUUCCUCAUUUGACUAUAUAUAUUGGGCAUCCCUCCAAUCAAUUAGUGAAGAUCUAAGUCAUUCUUUCAAUGGUUUGCACAGUAUUCUGUAUUGUAGAUGCACUGCAAGUUGUUCAGCUAUUCCUGAAUGGUUGGAUCUUUCUUUGUUCCCAUCUUUGCCACUAAAACAGUGUUACAUAAACAUCAAUUCUUAUUUAUGCUGGAAAAUUUUGUUUUCUAGGAUUGCUGCUGCUGGACCUAACACAUGUGUAUUUUAAAUUUUAAUAGACAUACCAGUUGUUUUCCCCAAAUAGUAUAACAAUUUGUAUUUUUACCAAUUUGUUUGAAGGUAACUUUUUAUGGGAUCCCUAACAACAGCAGAUAUCAUCAUCAUUUUAAAUUAUUGUUAAUUAUGUGAUUGUUAGUUAAGUUAUAUUUCCCUGACUUCUAUGGAGGUUAAACCUCCUUUCAUGUGCAUACUAAUGAUUUAAUUUGCCUUUCUGAGAAUUGUCUAUUCUUAUUGCUUCCCUUUUAUGUUUUUACAAAUUUCUGUGAGAUCUUUGUUAAAUGAAGAUAUUAAUCUGUUAUAUAUGUGCAGGAUUUCCCCAAGACACAGCACCAAUAGGAUGAAGAGAAAGAUAGAUAGAUAGAUAGAUAGAUAGAUAGAUAGAUAGAUAGAUAGGGACAAGAUCAGAUUUCUUACAGGAAUCGACUCACAUGUUAUGGAGGCUGAGAAGUCCCAUGAUCUACUGUCUGCAGGAAAGCCAGUGGUGUAAUGGAGUUUGAGCCGAAAGGCUAGGAGGUCCAAUGCCUAAAGGCAGUAAAAGAUGAACAUGCCAGGUCAAGAACAAAGAGUUCACCCUUCCUCUGACUUUUUGUUUUAUUCUCACCCUCAAGUAUUGACUCAUGUCCACCCACAUUGGUGAGGGCAGAUCUUCGGUUAGUCUACUGGAUUCAAAUGCUAAUCUCUUCUGGAAACAUCUUCACAGACACAUCCAGAAAUAAUGGUUUACUAGCUAUCUGGGCAUUGGUCAAGUUGACACAAAGAAGUCACCAUCACACUUAGUUAAAUAUAUCUGUCUUUACUUUUAGAGCUUUGGAGCUUUGGGCUUUCUACUUGGUUUAAAGUCUUCCCAACCCUGAAUUUUCCUUUUUAUAAAAGAGUUAUUAUUUUUACAUGUAAGUUUUGUAUCCAAUUUAGAAUUCUGCUUCAGGAUUGUAUGAGAUAGGGGUCUUACUUUAUUUCUUUCAGAUGGAUAAUAAAUGUGACAUUAUUCAUUGUUUAAGCUAUACCUUUUUCACAGAAUCGAAACACUAUCUUUAUAAUAGAUUAAAAUCUCCAACAUAUUAGUAUGUAUUUUAGGAUUUUUUCUUCUAUUCCACUGAUAUAUUUAUCCAUUUCUGUGUCAAUACUAUACUAUUUAAUUACAGUGGCUUUAUUAUAUAUUUUUAUAUCCAGUUAGGCAAAUCCUCAUCUUCAUUUUCCUUAUAAAUGACUUUCCUCAUUAUUCUUGGACAUUAAUUCAUCUUUGCUGAAUUAUUUAUUUAUUUUAUUAUUAUUUUAUUUUAUUUUAUUUUAUUUUAUUUUAUUUUAUUUAUUUAUUUUAUUAUUAGUUUUUUUAAAUUAAAGUUAGUCAACACACAAUGUACUAUUGGUUUCAGGAGUAGAAUUCAGUAAUUCAUCACUUCCGUACAACACCUAGUGCGCAUCCCAACAAGAGUCCUCCUCAAUGCCUGUCACCCAUAUAACCCAUCCCCCCACCCACCUCUCCUCCAGUAACCAGCUUGUUCUCUAUAUUUGAGUCUCAUAUGGUUUGCCUCCCUCUCUGUUUUUAUUUUAUUUUAUCUUUUCUUCCCUUCUGUUUACAUCUGUUUUGUUUCUUUUUUUUUUUUUUUUAACGUUUAUUUUUGAGACAGAGAGAGACAGAGCAUGAACGGGGGAGGGUCAGAGAGAGGGAGACACAGAAUCUGAAACAGGCUUCAGGCUCUGAGCUGUCAGCACAGAGCCCGACGUGGGGCUCGAACUCACGGACCGCAAGAUCAUGACCUGAGCCGAAGUCGGCCACUUAACCGACUGAGCCACCCAGGCGCCCCUGUUUUGUUUCUUAAAUUCUACAAAUGUGUGAAAUCAUAUAUUUGUCUUUCUCUGACUGACUUAUUUUGCUUAGCGUAAUACACUCUGGUUCCAUCCACGUUGUUACAAAUGACAAGAUUUUAUUUUUGAUCACCGAUUAAUAUUCCAUUGUGUGUAUAUAUGUCAUAUCUACUUUAUCCAUUCAUCAAUCCAUGGACAUUUGGGCUCUUUCCCUAAUUUGGCUAUUGUUGAUAGCUCUGCUAUAAACAUUAGGGUGCAGGUGCCCCUUCGAAUCAGCAUUUUUGUAUCCUUUGGAUAAAUAUCUAGUAGUGUAAUUGCUGGGUUUUAGGGUAGUUCUUUUUUUAAUUUUUUGAGGAACCUCCAUAUUGUUUUCCAGAGCGGCUGUACCAGUUUGCAUUCCUACCGGCAGCGCAAAAGUGUUCACCCUUCUCUGCAUUGUCUCCAAUAUUUGUCGUAUACUGAGUUAAUUUUAGCCAUUGUGACAGGUGUGGGGUCGUAUCUCAUCGUGGUUUUGACUUGUAUUUCCCUGAUGAUGAGUGAUGUUGGGCAUCUUUUCAUGUGUUUGUUAGCCGUCUGGAAGUCUUCUCUGGAAAAUUGUCUAUUCUUUUCCCCAUUUCACUGGAUUACUUGUUUUUUGGGUGUUGAGCUUGAUAAGUUCUUUAUAGAUUCUAGAUACUAACCCUUUAUCUGAUAGGUCAUUUGCAAAUAUCUUCUCCCAUUCCACCUGUUGCCUUUUAGUUUUGCUGAUUGUUCCCUUCACUGUGCAGAAGGUUUUUAUCUUGAUGAGGUACCAAUUGUUUAAUUUUGCUUUUGUUUCCCUUGCCUCUGGAGACAUGUCAAGUAAGAAGUUGCUGCAGCUGAGGUCAAAGUGGUUGUUGCCUGUUUUCUCCUCUAGGGUUUUGAUGGUUUCCUGUCUCACAUUUAGCUUUUUCAUCCAUUUUGAGUUUAUUUUUGUGUAUGGUGUAAGAAAGUGGUCCAGAUUAAUUCUUCUGCAUGUUGCUGUGCAGUUUGCUCAACACCAUUUGCUGAAGAGAUUUUUUUUCCACUGGAUAUUCUUUCCUGCUUUGUUGAAGAUUAGUUGGCCAUAUGUCGGUGGGUCCAUUUGUGGGUUCUCUAUCCUGUUCCAUUGAUCUAUGUGUCUGUUUUUGUGCCAGUACCAUACUGUCUUGAUGAUUACAGUUUUGUAAUACAGCUUGAAGUCCAGAAUUGUGAUGCCUCCAGCUUUGCUUUUCUUUUUCAACAUUACUUUGGCUGUUCGGAGUCUUUUCUGUAUUCCUUGAUUUCUCUUUCUGCUGCUUCAUUAUUGAUGUAUAAGAAAUACAACAGAUUUCUGUACAUUGAUUUUAUAUCCUGUGACUUUGCUGAAUUCGUGUAUCAGUUCUAGCAAUUUUUUGGUGGAGUCUUUUGGGUUUUUCAUGUGGACUAUCACAUAGUCUGCAAAGAGUGAAAGUUUGACUUCUUCCUUGCAAUUUGUAUGCCUUUUAUUUUGUUGUUGUUGUUGUUGUCGUUGUUGUUGUUGUUGUUGUCUGAUUGCUGAAGCUAGGACUUCCAGUACUAUGUUGAACAACAGUAUUUAAGAGUGGACAUCCCUGUCAUGUUUCUAACCUUAGGGAGAAAGCUCUCAGUUUUUCCCCAUUGAAGAUGAAAUUAGCUUUAGGUCUUUCAUAUAUGGCCUUUAUGGUGCUGAGGUAUGUUCCUUCUAUCCCUGCUUUCUUGAGGGUUUUUAUCAAGAAAGAAUGUUGCAUUUUGUCAAAUGCUUUUUCUGCAUGUACUGAGAGGAUCAUGUGAUGCUUAUCCUUUCUUUUAUUAAUGUGGUGUAUCACAUUGAUUGAGUCGUGGAUAUUGAACCACCCCUACAGCCCAGGAAUAAAUCCCACUUGAUAAUGGUGAAUAAUGUAUUCUUUUAAUGUAUUGUUGAAUUCAAUUUGGUAGUAUCUUGUUGACAAUUUUUGCAUCCAUGUAUUUCUUGGAUGCCUGCAUUUCUCCUUUUUAGUGGGGUCUUUGUCUGUCUUUGGAAUCAAGGUAACGCUGGCUUUAUAGAAUGAGUUUGGACACAUUCCUUCCAUUUCUAUUUUUUGAAACAGUUUGACUGUUCUUUAAAUUAACUCUUCUAUUAUGUCUGGUAGGAUUCCCCUGGGAAGCCCAGGACUCUUGUUUGUUGGCAGAUUUUUUAUUAUUGAUUCAAUUUCUUUGCUGGUUAUGGGUCUGUUCAAAUUUCCCAUUUCUUCCUGUUUCAGUUUUGGUAGUUUAUAUGUUUCUAGGAAUUUAUCCAUUUCUUCCACAUUGCACUAUUUUUUGGCAUAUAAUUGAUGAUAAUAUUCUCUUAUAAUUGUAUUUCUGCAGUGUUGGUUGUGAUCUGUCCUCUUUCAUUCAUGAUUUUAUGUAUUUGGGUCAUUUUCUUUUUCUUUUUGAUAGGUCUGGCUAGGGGUUUAUCAAUUCUGUUAAUUCUUUCAAAGAACCAGCUCCUAAUUUUAUUGAUCUGUUCUAUUUUUUUUUAAUUUCAAUAUCAUUCAUUUCUGCUCUAAUCUAUUAUUUACUUCUUCUGCUGGUUUUGGGGUUAUUUGCUGUUCUUUUUCCAGAUCCUUUAGAUGUAAGGAUGGGUUGUGUAUUUGAGACAUUUCUUCCUUCCUCAGGAAGGCCUGGAUUGCUAUAUAUUUCACUCCUUUGACCGCCUUUGUUGCAUCGCAAAGGUUUUGGACUAUUAUGUUUUCAUUUUCAUUGGUCUCCAUGUAAUUUUUUAUUUCUUCUUUAAUCUCUUGGUUAACCAAUUCGUUCUUUUUUUACUGUCUAUUUUUGAGAGAGAGGGGAGGGAAGGGGCAGAGAGAGGUAGAUAAAGUAUCUGAAGCAGGCUCUGUGCUGUCAGCACAGAGUCUGACACAAGGCUCAAACAUGAUUUUGAACAAUUCUUGAUAUCAUAGAGUAAAUACUACUUUAUCAUAGGGAAUUGUUUUCUUUUGGUACAAUGCUGAAGUCUAUUUGUUAAUAUUUUAAUAAGAAUUUUUGUCUCUCAAUUCAUGUUUUAUAUUUUUCUACAGAUGUUUAUAUCAUAUCGUUAUCAUACUUUAUUCUUUUAUCUUACUGUGGUAACUGUUAAUUUAUUCUAAGAUUUCUUUAUUCCUUUUCCUUAUUUUUUGGUGACUUGGUGAUGUUACUAUUAAUUGCCUUCUCACCUCUGCCCCUUGCAUUAAUUUAGAAGUUCUCCUGAAGUUUUCCAUUCAGCUAGUAGUUAUACAUCUCUCAACACUCACAAAUGCCUAUUUGUAUAUUAUUGUAUGAGAAUAAGAAAUUAUUUCCCCCAAUUACCCCAAGACUUUUGCCCCAAUCCAACAGGCAUUUUAGAAUGUUUUUACGUUUCUCAUGCUAGUCUCCCCCAUAUAAAUGGAACAGGCAGAAAACUUUUACCUUACCCCUUUCAUCACUACCACCCCACCUCCUUGGUUUUGUUGAGAUAAAUUUUACUUUCCAAACUGUUAGGUUUUCACUUGCAGCAUAACCGUUUUCUUUUUUUUUUUUAAGAAUCCUUAUUUAGGGUAUAUUUAACACUCCGCAUUAUUAUCCAUUUAAAUUUAAGUAUGCAUGUUGCAAGGUUAAAAAUCACUGCUGUUCCCUUUUAUCUUCAUCUUUCCUUUUCUUGAGGUCUUUCCUCUUAUUAAUUUGUGGUUUGGUUGUAGGUAUAUUUCCAGUAUUCUUUUCAGUGGGAGUUAUCUGAAUUCCUGCUUUUUGGAAAAUAUCUUUCCUUUAAUCUCCUGGUAAGUUGUAUCUUGAGGGACUUUAGGAUUCUUGGGUUACUUUCCUUUUCUCUCUAGAUUAGGUGAUAGUAAUCUAUUAUUUUCUGGGUUCCUCUGUUAUGUGGAGAUGAGAAUUCAAGGCUCUCUAAUACUUUGUUUUUAGCUUCUCUUAAGUUCAGAAAUUUUACUUGAGUAUGUUAAAUGUGCAUCCUGCUUGGAACUCAGCAAGCCCUUCCGAUCUGUUAUCUUCCAUCAACUCAGGGACAUCAGUUUUCUUUUCUGUGCAUAAUUACCAUCUCUCAUCAGUCUGUAACUUUUUUCCUGGAAUCCCUGUCAUUUUUGCAUCAUGUAUCCUAGGUCUGUCCAGCCAGUCUCAUGCUUUCUCUCAUAAUUUCUAGCCCUUUGAAUGGAAGUUUUUCAGUAAUGGCUUCCACUUGAUCUUCCAGGUUAUUCAUUUGGGUCUCAUUUUUUAAAACACACAAAAAAACACAAACCAUGGAUUUGUGUCCCUUUGUGUCUUUUUCAGGGGAUGGAGAGUUCGGUGAAAUUAACUUGCCCCGUGUUCUGCCAUUAACUGUUGUUGGUAGUCCUAUUACUGCUGCCUCUGCCUAGAUAUAAAUUUCCGUACCUAGGUAUCUAUAUGUAUCUAGUAGACACAUAUCUAGUAAUAGCAGUAGUAGUAAUACUAGGAGUACUUCAGCUUGGGUUGAUAGCUGUCUCCAUCUGCAGUUUCGUUGCGCUAGAAAUCCUUUCUUCUGGAUGUUUUAAACCAAGCUUCCUCUCUCUGGUUGCUGUGUCAUCCUUGGAUAAGUAUAUUGUUUUCUGCACACCAUCACUGGGGCUCGGGUCCUGCUGCUGGGAUACUAAAUUUCUCUACUUCCAGGUCUCCUCAGCUUUAAAGGAAAGCACUUGGUUAGUCUCACAGGCAAGGAGGGUUCGAUACCAGAGAAUUAGUUGUUGUAGGGGGGUAUGAAAUGCAACUGAAUGAAACUUAAACUAAAGUAUUCAUUUCUAAAAAUUGAAGAGUAAGUAUCAAAUAAUUUCCACUUAACAUUGUUCUAGAUGUGCUACUGAGACUGCAUAGCUUUUAUCUGCAUAUUACGGGCUCCUAAACAAAGCACUGAACUCCAGCAACCAGUUCAAACCCAGCCUCCACUGCUAACAACUGAGGAUGGGCUGUUCCCUAACCUCAGCAUGCCCCAGUUUCUGCAUCUUUAACAAGGGAUAAGAAUACUUGUCCUACUUCCCUCAUAGACUUAUUUGGUGACUAAAAUGAGAUGACAGAACAAAUUUUAAUGUGGUGUGAAAUACAAGGUAUUGACAUUAUCGUAGGACAUCAGCCUUAGUUUAUUUUAAAUAUGAAAAUACAUUCUUUCUUAUGUGAGGUUUUGAUAUCUUACAUACCUAUAUCCUACUGUUAAAGUCUUCUUGCUCCUUUAUGUUAGUCUGCAAAUAAGAAAAAAAUGACAAAAUUAAUUUGUGCUAAAUUUUUACUCUGUGGCAAGUACACUUUUGUGUGAAUCAUUUCAAAGAGGUAAAGAUUAUCCCCAUUUUUCACAUAAGGAAACAUUAGCAAGUGCCGGCUCAAGAAUUUGAAGCCAACUCUCCACAGGGUGCGUGGGCGGCUGGAUCGCUUAAGCAUCUGACUCUUGAUUUCAGCUCAGGUCAUGAUCUCAGGGUUCCUGAGUUCCAGCCCUGUGUCAGGCUCUAUGCUGACAGUGUGGAGCCUGCCUGGGAUUCUGUCUCCUUCUCUGUCUGCCCCUCCCUGCUUGCUCUCUGUAUCUUUCUCAAAAAUAAACUUAAAAAAAAAUAAGAAUUUGAACACAACUCUCUUGAUUUCCAUGUCUUGUUGGUACUUGCUCUGCAGUCACCCGAGCUCAUUAGUAGCUCCCUUCCUCUGAUGUCCCGUGUGCCCCAUUAUUAGGGUCUGUUCCACCUUUGUUCAUGUUUGUUUGCAUGGCUUCCUUAGAAUUGCUCUCCAAUUAUCAUUAUUAUUAUUAUUACAUUAUUAUUAUUAUUAUUAUUAUUAUUAUUAUUAUUAUGCCUCAUCGCCUCAGUUAUACCCUGUCUUCAUUACAUGUCCCUCUCCACCUGUGCUUUCUCUCUCCUCCCCUUGACAGGCAAACUUAGUGAAUCCAUUUCUAUACUUGGUCUCUCCUCUUCUUCCCACUCUUUCUCCUCUCUAAUCUGUAUUCUAUUCUUACUGCUUCAUUGACACUGCUCUCUCCAAGGUCACCAGUAGCCUCCAUGUCCCUAAAAUGAGUGAACACUUUUCACUUAUUAUCCUAUUUUAUUUUUCAGCAGUAUUUUACAGUGUUAACUGCUCCUUACAUUUUUCUAUACGUUUUACCCUCCUGAUUGGUCUUGUCCCUUCCAGUAGAAUUUCUUUUUCUUCUCCAAAGACUCUUUCGUUCUCUAAUGUUUUAAAGAUGGGUUUUCCUCUGAGUUCUGGUUAUUUGUACUCAAUUCAUUCUCCCAGGGGAAUGGUAGCAUUGUGAUCUAUAUGCUGGUGAUACCAGAAUCAUUUACCCCAGAUUUUUCUGCUGACCUCCAAACAUGAACGUCCAGACCAGCAGCCAUCUCCAUUUAGAGGCCUCAAGGGUGCCUCAACUUCACAAGGUCUACAAUUGAAUAUUCUAUGCCCUGUUUCUCUAGUUCAGUAGAUGAAAGCACCACCUACCCAACUGUUCAGAUCAAAAGCCUGGAAGUUUUCCUUGACAAAUCAUCCUUCUCCUUCAUCACCCACCUUCAAUUGGCCCCUAAAAUUUUGAUAAGCAUCUCUCAAAUCUAUCUUCUUUCCUUCAUUGCUAUAGCCACCAUCUAGUCCAGGCGACCCUUGCCUGCUUGGUGCUCUUGUUUCCCUUGAAUUCGUCACUCGGUAUCCAGAAUGAGCUUCCUGAAGUACAGAUCCUGAGGGGACCAGCAAGCAGCUGGGGGCCUAGUUGGGUCUUUCAGGUCCAGAUGGGGAGAGUUAACACAGUAGUUCUUUCCAUCUGGACUUACAAGGUUGGAGCCAAGAGAGGGAAGUUCAGAACACAAUGACUUGGGAUUCCUGAGGUCAAGAGAUUGGUAGAUUGUGAUUUUCUAAAAGGAUCUGAUGCUCAUUCUGGUCCCUGGAGGAAUUAUAGGAAAGCUGAACAGGUGGUUUAUAUCCUUCUUGCCUCUGAGACUGGCCAAGCGUGAGCCUUUGCAGCUAAAGAGAUACAGGAACAGAGAGAUUUAGUCCUGCUACUAAACAGCAGGACCUGAGACCCAGUGAUAGAAGAUUAACCUAUAUAAAAUGAGUUUUUCUUUUUUCUUUCUAUUUCUUUUUCUGCAACAUCAGAAUUUAUUGCUACAUUUAUUUCCAGUCAAGUCAUGGUAAUAGGUUUUAGUUCCAGGUAAAGGGCAUCAUUGCCAAUUAGAUGCCAUGCGAUGCAUGCCUUAGCAUAUAGAUGCCACCUUCACCCCUUCUCCUGUCUCCUUAUGAAGAAGCCUCUCUAUUUCUCUUUUUCUCUGAGCCUUAUGUAGUCCUCAGCAUUAGUCCGACAGAUUUUGAAAUGUAAAGGUCUAAUGCUUUUCUUUUUGAAACUACCCUUUUGUAGUCUAAAAUCAUGUCAGGCCUCCAACAUCUCCCAUAGGAGCUUUAACAAUUGCUUGUUUAACUAGCCUCCCAGUGUACAUCCCAUUCAAUCUACCCUCCUCUUUGCCUCCAGAAUCCUCAUUUUGAUCUGCAGAUUGGAUCCUUGCUUAAUACUUCAACAGCUAUCCUUUGCUUGCAGAUUGGACCCUUGCUUAAUACUUCAACAGCUAUCCUUUGCUUAUAGAAAGAAGUGCAGAGGCUUAGAUUGGCAAACAAAGUCCUUCACCACCUCUUCUACCUGCAUUGCACUCUAUCGUCUAUGUUGGACUACUUGGAGUCCCAGCGUACAUUAUCAUUGCUCCAUUCAUCUACACUUUUGAAUACCUUUUUGUCUUCUUAGAGUUCUCUUACACCCUCACCUUCAGGGAAAACUCUGUUUAACUUAAAGACUCGGUCAAAGAUCACACUGAGGAGCCUUCUACACCUCCAGGUUAGAUCUAAUUCCUCCUGCCUUGGAGUGUUUGUUUGUAACUUGGUAUUGUACAAUGUUGCUCUCAUCACUGGCUGUGGAAAUACUUUUUUAUUAACAUGUUUGUGUCUUCUACUAAAUCAAAUGCCCUUUGAACCUUAGAUGGAGCCUGGUACCUCAUAGAUGCUCAAUAAAUGCUUGUUUUGAAAGCUAUAGAUACAUAUAGAUGCAGACAUAGGUAUACAGAUGUAAAAAUGAGAGAGCAAUGUGUGACUUGUCUCUGUACUGUCUUAAAAGUUAAGGAUAUUAAGCCUAUUUCCUAAAACAUUGACUAUACUCUCCAAAUUUGUCAAACUAAAAUUUAGCCUGGUUUAUAAUGCUGUUUAAGUUUGCCUUUAUAUUCACCCAGAAAGGCCGGGCCUGAUCAGAGUAGGGAAUGGGACCCAGAGAGUAAAAUAAGGAGGGGAGAAUUCCUGCAAUCUGCCUUUCUGGAGCCGAACUCUGCUACAAAAGAGGCCUGUUAAUAUAGUGUGGCCAUUUGGCCAGGUAGGAAAAGAAAGCCUAUCUGUAUAGCUUUACGCAGUAUCCCAAGGGUUGCACACUAUCCCUGGCAGCCGAGAAGCUGCCAGUCCAAAGUGGGACAAAAGUUUCCACCAGAUAAAGCCAUUAACAUAUAGAACCCAUGCACCAAAGCCCAGGUUCAGCCUCACACCUGUUUAUACCUUCUUACCCAACUUCUGUUUGUUUCAUUGAUGUCUGUGAUGCUGGUUUGUACCCUUGCACCUUCUGGAGACUCAGAAGCCUGCUGCCAACUAUGCUCAUCUUCCUAUGGUUCCGUUGAGCUUAACUGUUGUCUGUUUGGCAGUGGUUUCAGGACAACAGGGACCUAGGUGUUUAACCCCUUGCUUGGUUGGCCAUAUGCAAGAUCACCUACCUCACUGUGUAGAUUCAUAUAACAGCGAUGAUAACAGUGUGACCAAGGUAAUUCAAACAAUUUUUGAAUCACUUAUGACUUGAUCUGAGGAAGGUGAUUUAAGAUUUUUUUCCCCAGUAAAUCAUAGUAAUGCCUAGAAUUUAACAGAAAAAAUUAAAGAAGGAGGGAAUUUUAGGUUCACUCUUCCUUUUAUGGAGAACGAUGUCCACUGGUGAGAAGACUGUAACUGAAAACACAUCACUUCUGUCAAGCAAACUAGAAAUAUUACUAAAUCGAUCGUAGUGGAAAUAAGUAUUUGUUUUUAAAGACACAUACACAGGUGAUAUUUAAACAUUUUUAAAACAUUCUUUAUUUUGGAUAAGUGUGUCUUUCUAAUGCUCUUCAAUGACAUUUUUAACUUUGGUCAUGAAAAAAUGGCUACCCUUGGGACAGAGAAUCAAGUUUCAACAAUAUCUUUAAUUUUACACAAAAUUCCAUAUCAUACUUACGUACAGAUAUAUACUUUGGGUGGAUAUUGUGUUAAAAAAUUUUAAUCUCUCCAAAGAAAAUUUUUUUGGGGAGGUGGAGAAAACCUUUUUUUUUUAUUAUUUGAAAGAUAUUAUAUGACCAUUAUUUAAGUUUUUAGAAAAAUGUGAAAAAGUUUUAAAAACACAAAAUUCACCCAUAAGCACCAACCCCAGAAAUAAUCUUAUUAAUAUUUUUGUGUAUUUUCUUCCAGUCUUCUGUUUUUAAGUGUUUAUUGACUAUUAGCCAGCUUGGGAUUAUUCUGCGUAUAUAGUUUUAUAACCUUAUAGUAUCUAAUAUGAUUUUGUCUGCAUGUUCACUUAUUUAAAGUAUAUAUAAUUAUCAUUUGAAUGGCUACAUUAUAUUGUGUAAUAUGCAUAAUAAUGCAGAAGGUACCAUCAUAUGCAGUUUCCUCUAUUUUAUGGACAUUUAGUUGCUACCUUUGUUAUUAUAAAUAAUACAUAUGAAUAUUUUUAUAGAUAAGAAUAGUUAUCUACGUUCAUGAUCAUUUAAUUUGUAUAAACUCCUGAAAGUAUACUGGGUCAAAUGGCAUGGGAACAUUUAAAGCUCCAAUGUAUUUGGCUAAAUUGCUUUCUAGAAUGGAAAAGCAAUUUAUACCCCCACCGGCCAUGUUAAGUAUUAUUUUUAUAUAGCUUAAACUUUUUCUUCUCACCGAAAUAUAAUUGACAAACAAUAUCCUAUUAGUUUCAGAUGUGCAUCAGAGUGAUUAAAUAUCUUUAUACAUUAUGAAAUGAUCCCUGUGAGUCUAGUUUCCAUCUAUCAUCAUACAAAGUUAUUAUAAUAUUAUUGACAAUAUUCCCUAUGCUGUUCAUUAUAUCCCCAUGACUUAUUUUAUUUUGUAACUGGAAGUGUGCAACCCUUAGUCCCCUUCACCUAGUCUGCCCUCUGGUAAUCAACAAUCGGUUACCUGUAUUUGUGAGUCUGUUUCUGUUUUGGUUUGUUUGCUUGUUUCUUUUUUAGAAUCCACAUAUAAGUGAAAUUGUAUUGAUGAAGUGUAGAAUCAGAAAAAUGUUCACCUUUAGGCCAGCAACCUGACCUAUGGCCUGUAUAGUUUUGAUAAGGAUCAAAUAAAUGCUGGUUGCUAUAUUCUUAAAGGGUCUUGUGAUGGCCUGUAAAUCUCAUUGAUAGUUAAUAACAAACUCAAUGAUAAAUACCAGAGAAAUCUUGCAAAAGCAGUUUUAUGAGUAGAAUUUUUGAAGAAGACAUUUAUGAUCUAGUACUCCUUGUAUGUCCUCCUCCCCCUUGAGCACUAAGCACAUAACCACCAGCUUCAUAGAGCAUAAGUGCAGCUCUUUCUGCCCACAGGUCCUAUCCCUGUGCUACUUGAAUAAACCUACUAUGUUGCACAAUAAAAUGUCUCAAGGAUUCUUUCCUUUUUUUUUUUUUAAAGUUUAUUUAUUUAUUUUGAGAGAGAGAAAGAGAGAGAGAGAGAACACAAGCCGGGGAGGAACAUGGAGAGAGGGAGAGAGAGAAUCCCAAGCAGGUUCCUCACUGUCAGCACAGAGUCCCACAAGGGGCUCAAUCCCAUGAACCAUGAGACCAUGACCUGACCCCAAAUCAAGAGUCCAACGCUUAACCAACUGAGCCACCCAGGUGGCCCUCGAGGAUUCUUUCUUGACAACAGUGUUCAAUGAUCCCAAAGCAAUAUGGCUUUUGUCUUUCUCUGUCUGAUAUAUUUCACUUAGCACAAUACCCCCUAGGUUCAUUCAUGUUGCUAUAAAUGGAAAGACUUCAUUCUUUUUUAUGAAUGAAUAGGAUUCUAUCAUACACAUAUACCACAUCUUCUUUAUGCAUUCAUCUAUUGGUGGACAUUUGGGUUGCUUCCCUACCUUGGCUAUUGUAAAUACAGGCUUACUUUGGAGAAAUUGUGGGUUCAGUUCCAAACCACUGCAAUAAAGCACGUGCUACAAUAAAGCGAGUCAAAUAAAGUUUUUGGUGUCCCAAUGCAUACAAAAGUUAUGUUUAUACUGCAAUGUACCCUGGUAAGUGUGCUAUAGCAUUAUGUCUUAAAAAAACAAUGUGUAUAUCUUCAUUUAAAAAUGUCAUGGGGUGCUCAGUGGCUCAGUCAGUUAACCGUUGGACUUCAGUUCAGGUCAUGAUCUCAUGAUCCAUGAGUUUGAGCCCUGCAUCGGGUUCUGUGCUGACAGCUCAGAGCUUGGAGCCUGCUUCAGAUUCUGUGUCUUCCCUCUCUCUCUCUCUGACUCUCCUCCACUUGUGCUCUCUUUCUCUCUCAAAAAUAAGUAAAUAAAUACAUACAUACAUACAUACAUACAUACAUACAUACAUAAAUAUUUAUAAAAAUAUAUCACAUCACUAAUAAAUGCUUUCAGCAAUUUGUAAUCUUUUUACUGGUGGAGGCAUUUGCCUCAAUGUUGAUGGCUGCUGACUGAUCAGGGUGGUGGUCGGGGUGGCUGUGGCAAUUUCUUAAAAUAAGACAGCAGUGAUGUUUGCCAAAUUGAACUGCUCUGAUGAUGCAGAAAGAUGGAUGCUGUAGGGUUAGAGUAAGUGGAUUUCUUUCACUUAUGGUCUAGUUGUUAUUUAAACUGCUAGGUUUGGUUUUUUUGUUUGUUUGUUUUUUGGGGGUUUUUUUUGCUGUACUCCAGGGCAGAUGAGGCUACCCUUAGUGAUAUCCUUCACUAAGUGCAAAUCAAGACUUUCUUGCUUCAGUAUUUGAGCUUAGAUAAUUUUUUGAAAGUCCACAAUUUGGAAAUAUAACUAUUUCUAAAAGUGAUGUAAUACAGUCCAUAAAAACUCUUUCCAUGCUGUACUUACAUCCAUCCAUGGAUAAGCAGGUGUAGCACAGUACCUCCACAGAGGAAGCAUUUGUUAAACCUGCAACAGAUAUAGACAUGGUAAGGAAGGAAAGAUAAAGGGGUCUAUGCAAUGAUACAAUGAGAGUCCUCACUUUGGGGAGUAUUCUUGGUGUAUUUAGGUUUUCCCCAGUUAGAUACCAGUUCUGGUUCUCACCGUCUGCUUCUACUCUCAGUACUGGUGGUUAGCAGCACCUUAACACUUACCUCGAUGUUUCUAGGAGCAUCAAAAACUAAUGAAGGAGCAGAGGAAUGCAAACAUUAGUUGUGAGCAAGGUGACAAAUUCACUCAGCUAUAGUCGAAUAUGGCUUAAUAAAAGGCAAUAUAUGAUUGUAUUAAUGGAUUUUAGGUUGAAGAGUAUUUGGUGACGAUUUGGGAAAACUAUAGCCAGACAUCCUCCCGCCAAACUCCCUGGGAUCAGCACUGGCCACCUUGCUGGCACUGUCCACUUUGGAAAUUCGGGGCAGUCCCCCUUAAUUUUCUUAAAAAACAAAACAAAAAAAAACCGUCAAAUAUCACUGACUCCUUGGCUGCUAGUUAACAUUCUAAUUAUCAGUUAACACCUUAGGAGGGAUUUGUACACUGUCAUGUGGGAGAGAGACCCAGUAGGAAGGAUGGCCUCCCAUCGGCUUAUACAUCUUGCAUCUUUUACCCAAUUUAUCCUCACAUAUCCUGCCCUGGAGGACAGUAACAGUAUAUUUUCAUAUUACCAAUGUGGAAAUUCUGAAAGGGAAUAGAGAAAAUGACUUGUCUCAUGUCACAGAGCUAAUUAAAGGGAGAGCUGCAUCUGGGCCCUUUGUCUCUGACUCCCUGAAGCUUAUGGCUUCCAAUUUUGAGACAGCAUCAUAAGGUGGAAGAAAUUCAGCCAAGAAACCAUACCAGCUUGCUUCUUCACCUGGUAAUUAUUGUCUGCAAAGAAAUCAGAGCUUUGAAAACAUCAAAAUCAGCUUCAAGAGUGGGGAUGACUGAGCAGUAUACAAAUUAGUAAAGUUAAAAAAAAAAGGUGAUUAAUUGUUUAAAAAAUUUACAACCUCAUUAUAAGACUGGCCUUUUCAAAGGUGGUCUUAUUAGUUUCAGGACCUUUGGCUAUUUAUACUGACAAAAAUUGAUUCUUUUUUCAGCUCAUUCACAAAAAUCUUCCUUCAAGUGCUUGGAUUUCCAUAGGAGACAAAAGGUCACAUUCUUAUUCAUAACCAAAUUCGAAGAGAUUUUGAGCUAACCUGCACUGGGAAAGAUAUUUCUAACUCUAAUAACACAUUUACCUUCCAGAAAAAGAAACAAACGUGCCUAAGAAAAUCUCUCUAGAAUUUAUUUGCCUGUAUUUUUAUCCCUUUUACUCCUGCCACCUUCCCCAGAGUGAAUGUAACAACUUGUUAAAAAAAAAAAAAUCACCUGGACAAUUCGAAAAUCUAAAAAAUAACACCAAUAGAAAACUAAUAUGUGCUCAAUGUAGAAAAUUUGAAAAAUACCAAAAUAUUUUUAAUAAAACCAAAUCACCCUAAUAUCACAAGCUAGAGAUAAUCACAGUUACAGUGGAGUGAUUCUAUACGUAUCCACGUGCACGUGCGUGUGCACACAAAGGGUACACGUGUAUGCUGAUGAAUGAUUGGGACCAUAUUGCAUAUACCACUAGGGAUGGCAGAUAUAGAGCAUGUGUACCACUCCUUCCUGCCUUUUUUGCCCAUGGCAGAUAUUACUGAUCACAGCUUUCUUUCCUGCUGAGCCCAGAUGCUAUGUCAGAAUAUGCUUCAAUGCAGCACUCCAGAAAGCCAAUACCAAAAUAUUUCAAAAGCUGUCUCUGAUGACUCCUGUUCUGUAUCUUGAUUUUUUCCAUUAAUAUUCUGGUGUGAAUUUUCUGAGAUCACUAACAUUAUUUGAAAUUUUUAUAUGACUGCAUAAUAUUCGUAAGAAGUAUACAGCUAUUUACUCCAUAAUGUUGAGUAUAUGUUAUUCCAUAAAUUUUGCUGUUAUAAAGAAAGCCAUGGUAAAUAUCUUUGUACUUCAAAUUUUGACUGAAACUCUUGACUGUUAAACAGGGACAUUUUCCAAGUUUCCUUAGAAGUGGGUUCAUAGGAUCAAGGAUUGAAACAUUUUUUAUUACUUCUCAUUUAUUUAGCCAAAUUGCUUUCCAGAAAAAUUGGACCACUUUCAUGAGAAGGUUAUUAGAAUCUUGGUCUUAACAUUCUUCACCGGCAUAAAAUAUUAACAUAUUUCAAAAUCUUUGCUAAUUUGUUAAGGGGAAAAAUGUAUACAGUUUAAGUUUGCAAUUCUUUUUCCAUUAAUAAUGUAAAGUAUCUGUGUCUAGUUUUAGAUCCUAUUUCUAUUGAGAUGCUAAAGUUUUGUUAUUGAUUUGUAUAUUAUAGACAUAAAUGCUUUGUGGGUGAUGUUAUUUCUCAGUUUUUUAUUUAGCUUAUGGUAUUUCCUAACAUCUGGAAGGUUUCAAUUCUUUUUGUAGACAAAUCUGUUUAUCUUUUCCUCUGUGACCUCUUGUAUUUCUUUAUGCUUAUAAAAUUCUUCCCUGCCCAAAGAGAAGGAAAAUAUUUACCUAACUCUCUUUUCAGCAUUCUUCUGGUUACACAAAGAACAGAAUACAUCAUGACUGAAAAACAAUAUAUUUCUUUAAAUUUUCUAAUGUUUAUUUAUUUUUGAGAGACAGAAAGAAUGCAAGUAAGGGAGGGACAGAGAGGGAGGGAGACACAGAAUCUGAAGCCGGCUCCAGGCUCUGAGCUGUCAGCACAGAGCACAACGCAGGGAUCGAACCCACAGAUUGAGAGAUCAUGACCUGAGCUGAAGUCGGACGCUUAACCAACUGAGCCACCCAGGCACCCAGAGAAACAAUUUUUAAAGAAAGCCAUGUCUGUGUCUUGUAAAACCUGUAAUCAUCAGGUCAGCCUUAGAAGAAAGCAGCCUGCUGUGUGCUGUAGUCUAACUGACCUGAGAAAAUCUUGCAUCAAAAUGGCAACCUCCUCAUCCAUUGUUACGUUACUAUAGAUUUAUUCUGUGGGGCCCCGAAGGUUCUUUGUUUCUUAAAGUUCUUCGUCCCUGAAGAGCAUCAUCUCAGAGUUAUUAGCUAACAUAUUCAUUACUCAUUAAUAUUCCUUUGGAUUUUCUGCCUGCCUAAUAAUCCAUUAGUACAAGGCUUAGCAAAAAUGAUACCUCAAACUAAUACUUUGGGUACCAAGGGAAGAAAGAGGCAUAGAUUCUAGAGGUUGAGAAAUUUCUUGAUUCACAUCUCCUGGGAUCUGACAUUAAGAGGCCGGUAGCCAGAAUAUAUGAUGAUUUAGUGCAGUCCUUACUCUAGCUUUAGAGUGUAUAUGAACAGACUUUCAGGAAUCCCUUUGAUUCUAUCAUGGAGCUUUUAUUUAUUUAUUAUUAUUAUUAUUUUAAUGUUUAUUUAUUUUUGAGAGAGAGAGCGAGACAGAGCGUGAGAGGGGGAGGGCCAGAGAGAGAGAGGCACAAAAUCCGAAGCAGGUCCAGGCUCUGAACUGUCAGCACAGAGUCCGACGCGGGGCUUGAAAGACGGACCGUGAGAACAUGACCUGAGCCAAAGUCGGACGCCCAACUGACUGAGCCACCCAGGUGCCCCUAUCAUGGAGCUUUUAAUAACACAUACUCCUGUACUGUUGGAUCAGUGCCAGACUAAGACACUGUGUGCUGCUGUGACCCCACAUGCAAGCUCUAUUUUAUUGGAAUAGAACUUGCUCAUUUGUACUUUCUGUCCCUGGAAGUAUCCUGUUUCAUAACAGUAUAAUCAUCAUCAUUAUCUGCCAUUUAUUGGGUACGUAUUAUUUAUUAGUUAAUCCUAACGAUCACCUUAUGCAGUUGAUAUUGACUGUUAGAAUGGCUUUGUAAAGGAAGCUCUAAUUCUCAGAGUGGUGAAAAGCCUAUUUAAGCACACAUACCAUUUCAUAACAUAUUUACAGGGUGACUUCUCAGUCCCAGGCACUGUUUCAAGAGCAUUAUCUUAUUUAAUGACCACAACAAUCUUCUCAGGCCAUUCUAGGAAUGAAGACACAGAGGCUUACACAGAUUAAAUACAGUAACUUAAGUACAGUAACUUGCUCUGUGAGUGUUCCUCAACAUGCGCAAACAUUUCUAAUACAUUUGAACUUGAUAAACGAGCGAUCUCUUGCAAUACAAGUAGUAUGUGAUGCCGAAUGUCACGUGAUCACAACAGAGCCAAUGGUUCUUGAAAUUCACUUUGAUAUACAAGUGCUUUGGAUUACAAGCAUGUUUUUGGAGCAAAUUAUGCUCAGAAACCAAUGUAUUUUUGUUACUGUAUUUUGAUUCAGAUCACACGUAACUGGAAGGUGAUAGAACUAAGAUUUAAAGCCAGGCAGACAAAUCCCUUCGGUUUCUCCCCUUCCCCAUCCAUUGCUGUGUUAACAUUUAAGUAGCAGAGGUGAGGUUCAAAACAAGCGCUACUGAUUGCAAAGCUCCUGCUCUUAAACAGGGGAGUCUUCUAGGUGUGGUGAGUAAGCAGCAAUGUUUUGCAAUCACUUGUGAACUGUGUUGUAUCACAUUAAUAAUUAAAGCUAAUCAUUAAAGCAUGAAAGUUUGUGAAUGUUGUACUUUGAAAUCAAUUAGAAUGAAUUAAAAGUUUCCUAUAAUGUCAUUUUACUAAUUUUCAUUCUUAAAUACCUUCUUGAAUGGGAAAAGGUGGGCCAAGGAAUCCAGACAGGGCAGAACAGGUAUGGCUUAUCUCUGCUCCAUGAUGUUGGGGUUUCACCAGUGGUUGGUGACUUGAAUCAUCUACAGCAGUGCUUCUCAAAUCACUGGGAAACUUAGAUGCAAAUUAUAGAGUCCCACCCCAGAUGUACUGAACUAGAAACUUUAACAGUGGGACUCAAUAAUCUAUGUUUUUAACAAGCCCUCACGUGACUCUAUUGCAUGCUAAUAUUUGAGAACACUGAUCUAGAGUAUUCUUCUCUCACAUGUAUGCAUUUCAGAGAGGAUGACUCAAAAUGAGAAGUCAACUGGGGGGAUGUCAGUAAGAGCACUUACGCACUGCUCUUCCAUGGAUUUGGGCUUCUCACUCUGUGGCUCUCGGGCUCUUAGAUUUCCUGAAAGGACACAUUCAAAGAGCAAGAAUUCAAAAGAGAACCAGGUGGAAAUUGUGUGGCCUCUUCUGAUCUAGCUCAAAAGUCAGGGUCACCUUCACUCUAUUCAUCUCAAUUGGAGCAAUCACAAGCCUACUCAGAUUCGUGGGUUGGGGGUAAAGACCACACUUCUUGUCAUGAAACAUGUCGAAAGCUUUGGAGCCAAUAUUUUAAAACUUCUACAGGCUGCCCUCUGCCUUCUAGCCUGACGGCCAUAUGCAAGAUAUACUCAUCCACUUGCAGGCUCCCCAAACAUCUCACCGCAUUUGGCAUCAGGCUCAGACCUGAGGUCUAUAGGAACAUGAUGUGACUAGUUGAUGGUGAAUAUUUAGUGGUUAAAAAUGCAUUGAGAAACACUUAUCUUCGCCAUUCAGUUAUACUUUCCUUAGGAGGAUACGACUUUUUGAGUGCAGAGCUCUUAUAAAUGUGACUUUUAAAAAAUCAAUACAUAACACAGCAUAAAAUAUAUAACAGGACCUAGAGUGUGUGCUCAGUCAGUUAUUAUUGAGUUGAGUUUUCAUUGAACUGAGUUUUAAAAUUUAAUAUUUGAACUUCUCCUGUAUUCUAUCACACAUAUACAUGUAGGUUAGUGUAAUGUUCACUUUUCCUUUUUCUAUAUUUAACACACUGCAACAAAGCACAAAUCUCUAAGAAUCGCGGGAGACAUGACAUAGAGAAGCUAUUAUCCUGGGUAUCUCCUAGCACUAUAUUUCUUACAAAUAAUUUUCACUUAGAGCUGAAGGAAGCAGUGGUUACCAUAGUCUGAGACAAUAGAGGCUGGUGACCUCUUGACUGGAUCGCUUAAGUUUAGGUGAAAAUAACUGCUGAAGUGCCUUAUACUCACAUUUUCUAAAUUCUAAGUGACAAUUUAAAUUUGUCUUCUCUAAGGCUCAUAUAUGAAUUUUCAGGUGUUCAGUUUUUGCGCCAAUUCUCAGUUUGAUUUUACAACACAAUCUAAAUGAGGACUUUCAAGAAUGCUUAACAAGAGCUCAUUCCACAUACAGGAGUUAACUUGGAGCCUGGUUUGAUAAUGAAAUAAAACUCUAGUAUUCAUUUGUUUUUAUUAUCUGGUCGGUGAUUUUAUUAACCUAUUUUUGAUUUCUGGUGGCUGUGCCUUUGAGUUAAAACAAAGCAUUAGUGUAUCAUUCCUCCGGCUUUCUUGCUAUGCUCUGAAAACGAUGCAUUUCUAUUUCUUAAGUUAACUGGAUAUAUCCUUUUAAUUCUUAACAUACAUAUAUACUUUAGUUAGCAUUGUUAGGUUUUCUAGAAAGCAUAUAACGCAGAUUUAGUUGUGUAUGGUAAAGAAUCUUAUAUCUUGUAUCCCAGGUUAUAUGUUAACAUGAAUUUGGAAGGGAACGAGGAGAAGACACUGGGGAAGACAGUGGGAAGUAAAACAGUUUAAGCAGUCGGUUGAAGGAACAGGAAAUUAUAUAGGGAUUAGAUUUUAUGUUUUUUUAAAGGUUUUAUUUAUUUAUGUUUGUUUAUUUUAAUGGUUUUAUUUAUUUAUUUAAGUUAUUUUGAGAGAGAGAGAGAGAGAGAGCCUGUGCACAUGCAGAGGAAGGGCAGGGAGAAAGAGAGACAGAAUGCCAAGCAGGCUUCGCUCCAUCAACACAGAGCCUGAUGCAGGGGCUCAAGCUCACAAACGAUGAGAUCACGACCUGAGCCGAGAUAGACAGUUGGACGCUUAACUGGCCGCACCAUCCAGCCACUCCUAUGGAUUAGAUUUUAAUGCCAAGUAUUCUACAUUGUCACCAUCGGGGCAAAGGACUUUUGAGAGGCUGAAACACAAAUUACUCUUGUCUAGCCGACCAGCAACUUCUACAGUAACUGCGAAUGCAUAGUGAUUAUUGUUUAAAACGUAGUUCAAGCAAUUUAGUGCAGUCGCAAAGAAAGUGUGAAAACUUGUGGCCACCUAUAAUGUUACGUUGUGUGUUCGUGCAUGUGUACACACAUUUGUGGACAAGUUACCAAUGCAAGAAAGGAAGGCUCAGUCAGGAGACUAUGUGUGGUAUCGAGUCUAAACUCAAUCGUUCCUGGUUUUCGGUAGUUUCCAUGGAAUUUUCAAUGUUGUUUCUUUUGUUCUUGUCCUUCAGCAUCCUGUAAAUGAAGCUGUUUCUUUAAAAUCGGUCCAUUUACUGGAGAGUGUUAUGCUCAGUGAAAUAAGCCAUACUGAGAAAGACAAAUACCAUAUGUUUUCACUCUUAUGUGGAUCCUGAGAAACUUAACAGAAACCCAUGGGGGAGGGGAAGGAAAAAAAAAUAAAAAGAGGUUAGAGUGGGAGAGAGCCAAAGCAUAAGAGACUCUUAAAAGCUGAGAACAAACUGAGGGUUGAUUCGGGGUGGGAGGGGGGGGGGCUAUGGGUAUUGAGGAGGGCACCUUUUGGGAUGAGCACUGGGUGUUGUAUGGAAACCAAUUUGACAGUAAAUUUCAUAUAUUGAAAAAACAUUAAAAAAUAAAAUAAAAUCAAUCCAUUUGUUCAUUCAUUCGCUUACUUACUCACGUAGGCAUUAUUGCACCAAUAGCAUCAAGUGGGAGGCUGAAGGUACAAAGAUGACUACAGCAUGGUUUCUGUUUUCCAGGAGCUCACGUGUAUAGAGAUAAGUAAAUAUAUAUAUAUUAAGCUGCAGUGAAAGCUUUGAUAGUGGUAGAGGCAAGGGCCAGGACUGGGAUUCUAUAUGUGUGUUACAUUGUGCCUAGGAGUGAGGGAUAAGGAAAAGCUUCACAGAUAAGAUAGCUCACAUGGAUAAAAACUGAAAAGAAUCUUGAGGUAGGAGAGAAGUAGUGAGCAUUCAUAUCAUUCUUUGACUUAAAAACGUGUUCAGUUCUGAUUCUGUCAUCUAGCACGUUAUUGCUCUCUGUGAAAUCAUCUAUAUGUUUUAUGUCUUCUGUGUAGUUAUCCAUUGUUGAUUGCAAACAAAGUUCAGCAGAAGAAGCUAAAGGCAAAAAGAACUGUGAAACAUAUUACCAAAUGCUUCCCUCCAUUGUUUAACCAUCUAUAACCUGCCCAAUUAAAUUAUUUUUCAACCCACAUUUCUCUAUCGAAUGUACAGGGAUAUUACAAGAGACUUUUCAAAUGCUUUGCUGUGAUAAACGUACAUUCUGUAGUAUUUGGAAUACUUCUGGCUACAAAAAAACUCAACCCCAUUGGCUUAAACACUAAUAAUAAUACGUAUUAGCUUACACAAUAAGAAGUCCAGAGGCAAAAGAGUUCCAGGAUUGGUUAAUUCAGCCACUCAAUGAUGUAAAGGAUCUGGAUUUUAUCUGUUUGGUAUGCUUUGCCAUGCUGAGUAUCCUGGAUCAUCUCUAGUGGUCACAAAAUAGCUGCAGUAGUGCCAGGCAUUGCACCUAGACAAAACACUGUCUAGUAGAAGAGGGUCUCUUUCUCUAUGUUUCUUUAAAAACAAAACAAAACAAAACAAAACAAAACAAAACAAAACAAAACAAAACAAAACAAAACAAAACAUAAAGAAGCCUCCACAGUGGACUUCUAUCUUGUUUCAUUGAUCAAAAUUGCACCACAUGCUAGUCACGGGCAAAGGGUUCCCAUGAUUGGCAUGGACUCAGCCUUUACUCAUCAGCUAGAAAUUAGAAUAUCCUUCCUAAGCACUUGACCACAGGAAGUAGGCCAGAGCAGUGAAACAAAAGAAAACAAAACUGGGAUCUUUCAGGAAGGAGGAUUGAGGGGGGAAUGGAUUUUUGGUAGAUAACCAAGACAGAUCGCUAUGCCUAUGGCAUAGGAUGUUCCAAAACAUGAACAUAUGGUGCGCCUCCUAUAUAACAUGAUGUGUCUUGAAAAACAACAUACGUUGUGUCAUUACUUUCCAAGAACAGUAAUUUUUCUAGAAUAAAAUACAGUAUUUCUGUCUCUACAUGUCAAAAGCAAUACAUAUAACAUUUAUAGGAGAUCAUAUUUCUGAAUUUUUUCACUAUUAUUUUUUUUUACUGACCAUUUUGUUGUUUGCUAGUGAUUGGUUCUAAAUGACUGGCUAUGUUUACCAAAGACUUUUUUUUUUACAGUAUAGUAUAAAAAUUCUACAUAUAUGUUUAAUGUUUUAAUGAUUUUUGCAUUACAUUCCUUUCAUAUUCUCAAGCAAUACAGGCCCAUUGCAUUUCAGUAAUCGUACCUACCAAGUUGAGUUAUUUACACAAAUCAUCUCUUAUGUAUCAGUUUCUACUUCUUUUUCCUAGUAUAAUUCUUAUACAUGUCCAGCAUUUAAUUGGGUUGAAGGGUUUAUACUUGAGACAUGAGUGUGCAUAUUGGAACAUUUGCAUUUUUGAAAUUUGGGGGACCAGAAAGUCUUACACGAAAGGCAAGAACAAAAAAACAAAACAAAACAACCAAAGAGGCCCAGACAAACAAAAACACUUUAAGUAUGGUAUUACACACAUCAGUGAGUAGAGAUGAGGUUGGUCUCCGCUCUUCAAAAUUUAUGUCAUGCAGGAAGCCUUCUCUUUCAAUUACUGGGUAAGGAGAACCUUGUUGAGGAUAAUUGUACAUCAGCCAAGAAGGGCCCAGAUCGUCCAGAGAACAUUGGGGUACCACUUCAAUGUCUUCUCCAAAUUUUGAAAAAAUAAUUCUACACUUAGAAAGUCAAUUUCUUUUUUUCCAUUUUUAUGAUAUUGGAAAUGAAAAAGUAAUCAUCCAAAUGAUUUCAACCUCUCAUUUGGAAGCUGAAUUGUUGCUGAUUGCUGUAAGCUGAAUUCUGUUUUAUUUACCUAGUAUUACUGCUGUUACUAGGAAACCAUGCUUCAUAGUUUAGUGUUUUACUGUGAAAUAUAAAAUGUCCAAUUAUUGCAAAGGUAUCUUGAUGUGUGAUUUAGCCUUUUAUGUUUAAAGCUUCUGCAUAUUUUUCUGAAAGUUAUUUUAUGAUGAAUUAAGGGACACAUGGUUAAUUUCUUUUCAAAUUUAUUUAUAUCAACCUCCCCAAAGCCGAUUUAUUGUUAUUUCAAAAAUAUUUGUAAAACUGUUCCAGAAUUGAGGAACCUCUCUAGUGAGUGCCUGGAUGGUUUUAUUAGGGUGGUUGAUAUAUUCCUCUGUACUUAACACUAUGGAGCUGUUUGGUUAAGCCCUAAGUGAACUUCUUGAGGAAAACUGCAUGAAGUCUGAAGCAUUCACUGUGUUAAGGGGAAAAUUUAUCUGUUGUAUCUGAUUUGUAGUGAUUUAUUAUUUUUAUAACAUACUAUACCCUUGGAAAACUAUUUUCCAAAAAUGUAUUAAUUUCCAUUUCUCUUUUGAAAUUUCCUAUAAUAUUGCAGAUGAAUUUAUAUGUCAUUUUCUAAACCUACUCUUCAGAGUGUCCAGAGGGUGAAAAUAUAUACUAGUACAAUAACAGCAAUUAUGGUAAUAUCCUAGAUUUAUAUUGUUCUUUCUGAUGAUUUAUCUUACUUAAUUUUGUGCUUGUGAUAACUCACACAAUAUGUGAUGAGAUAAUUAUUCCCAUUCUUACAAGUAAGAAAAUGGAUAUUUCGAUGAAUGAAAUGAAGUUUCCAACCUCAGACAACUGAUAAAUGCUAAAUCUGGAGCUUGAAGUUAGUUUUUUCAGACUUGAAAUCCAGUGUUGCAUUCUGUCUACUUGUAUAAUAGUGUUACCAUGUAUUUAAUGUAUAUGCUUGCUUAUCUGGAUUCUCUGAAUUAUGGUGAAAAAUGUUUCUUAUUGCAGAGAUUUUAUCUGAAAUAUUUAUUUUUUAAUCACUGACAAUGGAAAUAGAUUUAAUUCAAAUACUUAUAGGGUGCUUACAAAAUGCCAGGUUCUGUAUUAGGCUCUUGUAUAUUCAUUUCCCCUUUAUUGUUUCACUUAGUACUCUUUAGGGAUCUUCCAAUUCCCUUCUAAUCCUAGGAUUAUUUAAUUGUUAAGUGUCUGCCAUAUAGAAGACACAUGUUUGUAGAAGCUCUAACUUCUCCAGAUGAUGAAGUUAGUUGGGUUUUAGUGUUUAUUCUUCAUAGAAGUUAGGUCAGCGGUUCUAAAUUUUAUAAUUUAAAUGACCUCUUUGAAGAAUUCUACCAAGAUUUAUAGAUAGGGAUACCUGGAUGACUUAGCCAGUUAAGCAUCUGACUUCAGUUCAGGUCAUGAUCUUACGGUUUAUGAGUUCGAGGCUUGCAUCAGGCUCUCUGCUGUCAUCUCAGAGCCCACUUCAGAUCCUCUGUCCCCCCCGUCUCUUGACCCCUCCCCUACUCAUGCUCACGCUCUCUCUUUCAAAAACAAACAUUAAAAAAAAGAUUUACAGAUAGAGUUUUUUCUUUAAACUUGUAUUAUCAAUCCCUUAAUUUCUAGUUCUUAGUUUCUAUGUUUAAAGUUUUAUUGUUUUAAAAUAAUCCGCAAUGGAAGUUACAGUGAUACUGGACACUUAUGCGUUAGUCUAUGAAUAAAGAUCUGAAAUCAGGGCUUGGAUUUGGUUAUCUGGCAUACACUUGCUUAUUUAUAUUGAAAGAUGCAUUGAUUUUCAAAAAUACCAACAGUGGUAGUGUCUUUCCCAAAAGGUUAAGAUGAUUGUUUGUGAUUAAUACUACUUUUUAAGUCUAUCAGCAUACCUUCAGCCAUAGAAGCACACUAAAACCUGGGCCAUAUAUUUAAAAUUGGAAUUUGGUUCCUUGCUGCUAGGCUACUGAGGCAUGAAGAAUGGAGUCAGAGAUUCAGAACCUUUAGUAUUAAGGAAGGUAGCCGGCAGGAAUGAAAACAUUGAAGAAUAUUUUUUAGCAGUAAUAAUUAAGAGUUACCUGCCACCACUAUAAGUGGUCCUCUUAGCUAUCUCAAAAAGGGUGCUAUUAUAAUCUUCUGCCAGUUCAUGGGUGUGUGUAUGUGUGUGCAUGUGUGUGUGUGUGUGGUCAUACACUCUAAAUAGAUUUCAUAGGAAAUAGCUCUCUGCCCAUUUGCAGCAUUGUGGUUGCAGAUAUAUUAACCUUGACCAAGAAUGCACACAGCAGAGAAAAAGAAGUGAUAAGUCAAGAGUAUGCUAAUCACGGUUGCAGUGUUUUUCUAGAAAUGCCAUUGAGAAGGCAUCAGUAAAUAGUUAUUGAACUCCUAUAAUUUCUUUAAAUCAUUUAACAAAUAUUUCUAAGGACCUAUUGGCUACCAGUCACUUUAUUUGACCUGGGGAAAACAAUAAUGAAUAACAAAACGUCUUCUGACUUCAAAGACCUUUUAGUUUGGUGUGGCAAAGACAGACACAUAAAAUAAAAAUAAAUACAAUAAAGUAUUAAAAAUAAGUCAUCAUUAUCAAAGCAGGUUAUUACAGGAAUGCAAGGAGGAUCCAGUAGUUGAAAAUAUCCUAAGUCAGGGGAUUUAUACAUCAAAAGGGGAAAAUAUAUAAUCAUCUUCUUUGAUGCUGAAAAGGCAUUUGAUAAAAUUCAACACUUAUUUUUGGUAAAAUGUGUUUUUUGUAUGUUUAUUGAUUUACCCUGAGAGAGACAGAGAGAGAGAAAGAGAGAGAGAGAGAGAGAGAGAGAGAGAGAGAGAGAGAGCGCACAUGCAUGCGCACACACAGCAGAAGGGCAGAGAGAGAGGGAGAGAGAGAAUCCCAAGCAGGCUCCGUGCUGUCAGUGUGGAGCCCAAUGUGGGACUCCAUCCCACAAACCAUGAGAUCAUGACCUGAGCCAAAAUUGAGUUGGGUGCUCAACUGACUGAGCUGCCUAGGCCCCUCUUUUGGUGAAAUGUUUUGGUAAAAUAGAAAUAGAUGGAUACUUUUAACAUCCUAAAACAUAGGUAUGUCAAGGCUAACUCCAUCAUUAUACUGACUUGAAAAACAUUAGAAGCAUUCCCUUUCAACUCAGGAGUAAACUAAGAGAUCUUUACACAAUCAUUAUUAUCACAUAUCAUUGUUCUGGGUGGUUCUAUUGAUGCAAUAAUUCAAGAGAAAGCUAGAAAAUUGAUGCAAUAAUUCAAGAGAAAGCUAGAAAAAGCUAGAAAGGAUGCUAUGACAGUUUCCAGGCACAAGCCUUAAGACACUUACAACUUUCUCUUUCUGUCUCUUGGAAGCUCGCUUUUGGUACCUAGCCGCCAUACCGUGAGGAAGCCUAAGUCGACUGCAGGACGACCCACACUGACAGGUCCAUAGCCCUGAUGAGCCCUUGGGUGGUGGCAAGCACCAAUUUGCCGUCUUGAAAUCAGGUCCUGCGGAUCCUAGUCAAGCAGCCCCAAAUGAUGCUGUGAGGUAAAAAUGAGCUACCUCUUCUAAGCUCUGCCCCAAAUGAACAUCUGUGAGCAAAAUUAAUAUUUGCUAUUGUUUUAAGCCACUAAGUUUUGGAGUAGCUUACUGAUGCCAUGAUGGAUAAUCUGAAUGGGGUUAGCACCUAACCCCCAUUAGGGGGGGCACCUAGAAGGGGGUGCUGUCAUAACAAAACCCUGAGACAUGUGGCACCAGCUUUGGGACUGUGGUACAGUCAGAAGCUGAAAAGGCCUUGAGGAAAAUGUCAGUGAAAUCCUCAUACUUGUCGAGGAAAAUGUCAGCAGAAUUCUGAAGGCCUGGUGGGAUGGUGGUGAGAGGGAAUACAUCAGAGUAAGAACAUUCUUUCCUAAAUUGUUUAUAACUAAGAAAAGAAAAUUACAUAGUUUGAGGGCUUCUCUUCAGUGGCUAAGAGCAGAAACAAUGUUUGGGUUCUCAACAAAAAUAUCGUACCUUCACUUCAUUCCUGAUUUUGUAGAACAACUUUUAGUUUCAAAGUAGUUUCACAUAUAUGAUCUUAUUUUAUGUUUUAUUUUGUUAUUUUAUUUAUUUAUUUAUUUCACUGGAGAGCAAGACAGAGAGAGAGAGACAGAGGGAGAGAGAGACAGAGAGAGAGAGAAUCCAAAGCAGACUCCACACUCAGGGUGGAGUCCGACACGGGGCUCAAUCCCGUGACCCUGGGAUCAUGACCUGAACCAAAAUCAAGAGUCAGAUGCUCAACCGACUGAGCCACACAGGCUCCCCAAUCAUAUUUUCUACUUUAAACAACCAAUUGAAGUAAGCAAAUCAGGUAUUAAUGUAUGAUCCCACCUUGAGAUUGGCAGAUCAAGAAGCUAAGCCACACGAGUAUCUAGAGACAGGAGCAGUAGUAGAUCUGGCUUCUGUUGGUCCUGAUUCCAGACUGUGGCUUCCCACGGUGGGUGGUAAUGGAAGCUUCGCUACAAUUUGCACAGGGGGCAGGGGUAGUCAUAGGAACUGGAGAACAGCAGACAUGGCUUUCAGUGUUUGCGGCUCAGUAUUUGUCUUUCAGAACACACAUUCUGGGAGAAACGAACACUGUGCUUGUAUUGACUUGUUUUUCUUUCCUGUCCCAGCUCUUUAUAUUCUGAGUGUAGUUCUAAAUAAAUGUUUCAGCUUCUGGAGGGUUGGUUUUGGCUCCAGGAAGUUCAAUAUUUGAUGAGUUUGGAAACUGAGAAGCUGAUAAGAAACACAUCUAACACAGGUUGCUAUUAGAUUGCUUUUAUACUGUCUCCUAAAACUUAUAGUUAAAGGUGGAUCCUGGAUACAAUUCAUUGGUCCAAUUACAUAUAAUGUUUUUGUUUUGUUUUGUUUUGUUUUUUAAUAGGAAGAACCCACAGAGAAGUAUAGCAAUAAUUUGUGGAUGGGGCUUUAAAGCAGUCGCCUUUUGCAGGACACCUGCUUCUUUAAGAUAGUUGUAAGAAGACUACAGGCUACAUUUUCACCUCUGAAGUUGUGAAAAUAUGGUAGUAAUUAUCCAAGAUUUUUAACCAUAGUGCAAGAUAUCAAGAAGUUUGAAAUAAAGAAGAGAACGAGGUAACUUUUUGAUCUUUGGGUAAUCAGGAAACGACAAGAGUUUCUGAACCAAACUAUAUUAAUCUCUUAAGUUUUCUGCUUUAUUUGAAAAUUAGGCCACUGCUUCUUUGGCUCCCUGACUUCCCAGAGCACCCUCAUCCUGAGUGUUUUCCUCCAGUAAACACUGGGCUCACCUAUUGGCUUAUUUUUAUCAUUUAAAAAAUCAAACUGCAAUCACGAGUCACGUGUUUGGCAGCCUUCUGUCUUAAAGAAGCAGCACCAGCAUACCUGAAGCCCAGGUGAGCAGAGCUCUGGCCUCAAGACGACAGGGUUGCAGCAGAAGUAGGAACAUAAUGGGCCUUGGAAGGGAAGCCUAUGCAGUGUACGUGGCCAGCACACAUCACCACACGAAAUGAUGGCACCUAGAGGCAGGGGCAGCACUAGAUGUGGUUCCCGUUAGUCCUGCGGAGCACUUUCUGAACUAGAAUAUGAUCUACAAAUAUGAGUUGUUGAAUAAACUGGUCUCAGUGAGAUGUUGCAGUAGUUCAGGCAGUGCUUACGUACCCUGGAGCCAACU
rnacentral:lncRNA from 1 species